GUGCUUGUUUCAGUAGCACAUAUAAUUAAAACAAUAUGAAGAUUAACAUGGGCCUUGCACAAGGAUGACUCAUAUUUAAGAAGCACUCUAUAUUUAA
rnacentral:snRNA from 1 species